GUGUGGUAAGGUAGCUUUAGGUAAAUGUUCCCCCAACUAAUGGUCUGGCCCAUACGGCCUUGAUUGGGCCAAUUGGCAUUUCCCUAUUUAAGGGCUGCUCAUUUGGUGUUUGGAGGCUGAAGGUGGUGCUGGUUUGACGUGAGGCCAGUACGAAAGACGUAUGUUUUGGUUAUGAUAUCCUAUGUUAUGUUAUCUUAGUUUUUGUUUGCUGACCGAUGCAGUCACUGCAGAGAAGGCGUGAAAGAUACAUCAUAAUCCACGUCUGGAAACUCCUACACAAGAAAGUGCCCAAUGAUAUCAACAUGGAGUUCUACUACACCGGAAGGCUCGGAUGGAGAGCUAGAUUACCCAAGCUCUAUGUCAGAGCGAAAACGUCUGCCAAAACCCUAUACGAUGCCUCGUUUGCCGUCCAAGGAGCUAAGCUUUGGAACGCACUACCGAAAAAUGUCAACACCCAGGAUAACCUUGAUACACUCAAAUGGCACCUGGCCGAAUUCCUGGGCAGAAUACCUGAUCAGCCCCCCACAACUGGCUACAGGACAUGAAAUCACAACUCCAUUGUUAACUGGUUAAACCAGCCGGGUGGCCUUCGAGAGAAGUUGACGACCCAGUAGGAUCCUGCUGAACCAUUCAAUAAGGUUCAAUAAGUUGGCCGUAUCCCAGAUACGUGGGGCGACCACGCCGGUCCCUCACAGGCCACUAGCGGGGAGAUUGUAGAUUGCAACCAACGGAAUCUCUCCCAUAACCCUUCCCUUUCCAAGGACCAUGGUGGCGUGGCCUCUUCUGUAUUGGACAAUGGAGUUUGAACCCAACCCUUCAGCUGGGAGUCCACCUCCAGGACCAGAGCCUCCUGCCCCCCAUAGCUCCACUACUCAGAUGGCUACGCUAUUCUCCAGAAACGGUGGGUCCAGAAACCUGCACGGGAUUUCCAGACUCAAGUUUCUGGCUUCAAUAA